rnacentral:tRNA from 1 species
GGGGCCGUAGCCUAGCCAGGUAUGGCGACCGGGCCUCCACCGGCCAGAGUCCGGCUCCAGAUCCUUCCGGGAAGAUACCGGAAGGACGUGGGUUCAAAUCCCACCGGCCCCA